rnacentral:rRNA from 1 species
UACGUAUGUGACUAGCGUUGUCCGGAUUUACUGGGCGUAAAGAGCGCGCAGGCGGUCGUUCAAGUCGAGUGUGAAAGCCCCCGGCUCAACUGGGGAGGGUCACUUGAUACUGAUCGACUCGAAGGCAGGAGAGGGAAGCGGAAUUCCCGGUGUAGUGGUGAAAUGCGUAGAUAUCGGGAGGAACACCUGUGGCGAAAGCGGCUCACUGGACCACAACUGACGCUGAGGCGCGAAAGCUAGGGGAGCAAACAGG